UGUAAGUCAACAUGAUACUCACCUGGACUCCAUCACCUUCCUGAUUACCUCCCCUAUAUCUGCCACUCCCUUUGGUUCUUUCCUCAGUAUUGCUCCUGUGUAGAAACUACUGUUAUGUUGUCUCGGUUCAUGGUUGUUGUUUUAGUAAAUGUUUCACCUGCUUCUCUACUCUCAGAGUCUCGGUUACAGACUACUGACUCCAACAAUGGAAGUAGCAAGAAAACAGAAUAUCUCCCAGAAGGUUGACCUUCUAAGUCAACACCAUGACCAGCUGGCACAACUGGGGACGGCUAUGGAAGAGGUUUUUCGCCAUGUGCAAAGUCACGAACACACCCGGGAGGCGUUGUCUUCAACUAGCAGAGGAUACUCUACAACCAGUCGACCCAGUGAGUCAGCCCAUUCAUCAACCUGCUCAGGUCAGCGAUGCCCGUUUGUCCCUCCCAGAUAAAUAUGAUGGCACUCCAUCUAAAUGCCCUGGCUUCCUUCUUCAGUGCUCCUUCGACUUUACACACCAGAUGGGAGCUCCCACGGUCCAAGGUUGCCACAGUUAUUUCUCUGCUGACUGGGAGGGUGUUGGAAUGGGCCACGGCCAUCUGGGAGAGGAGCUAGAAUCUUAUGAGUGGUUCAUGGCUCGGUUUAAAUGUGUCUUCGAUCUUCCCCCGGAGGGCAGAGAGGGGGGUGAGCACCUACUCCAAUUAUGGCAGGGGGACUAGACGGCUGCCGAGUACGCGCUCACCUUCCAGACGGUACCAACAUCCAGCAGAUGGAACUAGCCGGCACUUCGUACGCUAUUUAGGUCUGCGCGAAAUGGUCCAGAUGGAACUGGCCUGUCGAGACAAGCUUUCCUUGGACACACUCAUUGCGAUGGCCAUCCGUCUGGAUAACCUACUUCAGGAGUGCAGGUACUCUCAUUGCGUCUCUCCCUCCCUCAGUGAACACUCGAUUAGAGCCUGAACCCAUGGAGGUAGGGGUCACACGCCUCCCUAUGGCGGAGUGAUGGGGCUCUGUCUGUAUUGUGGUCAAGGAGUGCUCCAGCGGUAUCCGGCACUUCCUAAUCUGGGAUACACAAGAGUAGAUGAACAAUCACGUGAUCUUCCACCUCCUGGGGCAGGACCCUUGAUAGUCAGCCACUAGGAUCUAGAACCAUCCCCUUCAUUACCAGUUCACAAGAUCAUCCUCGAACUCAACGCCAUAACCCCACCAUCUCAUGGUCGAGAAUAAGCAUCAGACUGGUCACCCGAAUGCCGGACGACCUGCUUCCCCAUCCCCUGUGGUUCCACGUCAAUUGAGUCCUGUGGUUGCCCUUCAGCCCAACAUCCCGGAAGUAUACCAGGACCUGCGGGAGGUAUUCUCCAAGACCUGCGCCACCGGUCUUUCUCCUCAUCACCCCUUGGACUGUGCCAUCGACCUGCUUGCCGGUUCCACAGACGCAUCUACCCUCUGUUGGUGGCUGAGACCCAGGCUGUGGAGGAUUACAUUCAAGAGGCGUUCCAUCAAGGUUUCAUCCGCACGUCCACUUCUCCUGCAUCGGCUGAUUUGUUCUUCAUGGCCAAGAAGGAUGGCGGGUUACGUCCAUGUAUUGAUUAUUGACUGGAGUCCGGCCUAUGCCGUCAGAUCCCUACUGGACUCGUGCCGUUGUGGGGGUCGGCUCCAGUAUCUGGUGGACUGGGAGGGGUAUGGCCCAGAGGAGCGGUGUUGGGUUCCGGUGGACAUUCUGGUGGGGGGGUGGUACUGUCAAAUCUUCUCUCGCUCCUUCCCUCCGGCAUUCGACAUCUAACAGCCGGUCCUGGGAUUCAUCAUUACGCACCUGCAUAUCCACAUGAUACCCACCUGGACUCCAUCACCUUCCUGAUUUCCUCACCUAUAUCGGUCACUCCCUUUGGUUCUUUCCUCAGUCAGUAUUGUUCCUGUGUUUAUGCGUAGACGUUACUGUGAUGUUGUCUCGCUUCAUGUUUGUUUUAAACGUUUCACCUGCU